rnacentral:lncRNA from 1 species
GUGAGUGUGAGAAACUGAAAUAUUUUCCUUCCUCUCCAAGUCUAACUGUGUUUGAUAUUUUCACAAAUUUGAUAUUCUAUUCCCAAAAGCAAAAGCUUUGGCUUUGUUACAACCACAUCAAUGGUUCCACCUUCAUAAAUUACCCCAACUUUUCUUACACUAUUCCACCGGCUGCAGUAGGAAGCAAUCAACAUAGUAACUCUUUCUAUUUCUGAGUCAAGUAUCAUUACGUUUCAUCAUGUUUAUUUCUUCACUUUCCUAAAAUGGUGGACUGAAUCCAGCAAAAUUGCUCUCGGCUCGAUUCCUUUCACACAAAACUCAAUAUGCUCUUUUCAUAGCAGAACUCCAGCUGGUAACCCCAAUUAUCUCUGUAAAUCUAUGUAUUUUCAUUUUAAUACAGCAACUAUUUUCUUCUAUUUGUUUCUUAUUUUUUUACUUAUACGGAAACAUCACCAACAGAAUUAUAACAAAUACGAAAUCCAAAUACCCAACUGUUUCUAUUAAAGAAAUACCUUGACCAAUGCUAUGCACCAAAAAUCAAAUCUUUACAUCUGAAUUCCUUUCCUUUUGUUCCUCCGGUGAGUGAGAGUCGAGGAUUCGAUGAGAGGGAGGAGUGGGACUGUCCGAGCUCGACGCCGGGCUGUCAAGGCCACGGCUGCCGGCGCUGCAUGCGUGGCAGCAGCCCGCCGGCCGCUCGCGGCCAAGGCAGACGGAGUCGGGGCACGGCAGUGAGGCUGGUGGCUGGCAAGAGGGAGGUGGUGAGCAGAGGGUAAGGUGAGAAAGAGGAGGCGAUGAGUGAGGGAGGCGUCGGAGCCGGCGAUUCUCGCCGAGGUUAGAGCAGGCGGCGGCGGAAGAUCUUGGAGGGAGAAGAGGCGGUGGUUCUGGGAGAGAGAAAAAGCGAAUUAUAGAGACAGAUGGGAGGAGGAGAGAGAGGUGGUUCCCGGCGACGAAUCGCCGCGAAGAGGGGCGGCGGCGUGGCUUCAUGUGGGAGAGAGAGAGGGCGGCGGAUAGAUGGGUGUGAGGAUAGAGAGAGAAAGAGAACCGAUAGUGAGGAGAGAGAGAGUGAAUAUUUGGCUUUUCAUUUCAGAUUUUUAUGUGUCUUGUAAGUUUUGUUCAAAAGCUGAUGGAUUUUCUUUAAUGGGCCGAUUUCUAUUAUCAGUUGGGCCGUUUCUUUUCUUUUAUUUGAUGGUCU